UCCACAGUCACUGAGUACACAAGGUAUUCAUUAUGGGAUGGAGCUGGAACAUCCUCUUCCUGGUGGCAGCAGCUACAGGUAUCCACUCCCAGGUACAGCUGCAACAGUCUAGUGCUGAGCUAGUUAAGGAUGGGACCUCAGUGAAGAUGUCCUGCAAAGCUUCAGGUUACUCCUUCACCAGCUACUAUAUGCAUUGGGUGAAGCAGAGACCUGGGCACAACAUGGAGUGGAUUGGAUGCAUUGGUGCUGGAAGUGGUAGUACUUACUACAAUCAGAAGUUCCAGGGCAGAGCCACACUGACUGUAGACCAAUCCUCCAGCACAGCCUACAUGGAGCUCAGCAGUCUGACAUCGGAGGACUCUGCAGUCUAUUACUGUGUGAGACAAGGACACAGUAUUGAAACCACAUCCUGA